UGGAGAGGAACCUCCUGCAGGUGCAGGGUGUGGGGAAGAACCUCCUGCAGGUGCAGGGUGUGGAGAAGAACCUCCUGCAGGUGUAGGGUGUGGAGAAGAACCUCCUGCAGGUGCAGGGUGUGGAGAAGAACGAGGAACACCAGUCACAGAUUGCUUCAUUGCAGAAGGGAGGAGACCGUUUCCCUCUGACUACCGACUCAGGAAAAGUGCUGGGGAGGGCUCUGCGUAGUCCUGACAGCAGCACCAAACCGGUGUGUUUCAGUGGGCCACAAGAUCAGCCUGGACACGGCCCUGCACCUCACACACUCCUGCUGCCGCUACCGUGUCCCAGAGCCAGAUACACACA
rnacentral:lncRNA from 1 species